rnacentral:rRNA from 1 species
UAAGAAACUUAAGCCACCUGGUGGAUGGCUCGGCUCGGAGCGCCGACGAAGGGCGUGGCAAGCUGCGAUAAGCCCCGGUGAGGCGCAGGCAGCCAUCGAGCCGGGGAUUCCCGAAUGGGACUUCCUGCGGCUUUGCCGCACUCCCACCAGGGAGAGGGAACGCGGGGAAUUGAAACAUCUUAGUACCCGCAGGAAAAGAAAGCAAAAGCGAUGCCGUGAGUAGGGGCGACCGAAAACGGCCUAGGGCAAACUGAACUCUGAGUGGAAACACUCAGGGGAUGUGGUGUAGCAGGAUCCUGUGCUGGAGCCUCUUGGGUGAAGCCGAAGUCCGCUGGAACGCGGCGCCGAAGAGGGUGAUAGCCCCGUAGGCGUAAGCCCAAAGGCUCCUGCAGGAUUCCUGAGUACCGUCGGUCGGAUAUCCGGCGGGAAGCUAGGAGGCAUCGGCUCCUAACCCUAAAUACGUUCCGAGACCGAUAGCGAACUAGUACCGUGAGGGAAAGCUGAAAAGCACCCCGGGAGGGGGGUGAAAAGAGCCUGAAACCAGGUGGCGAUAGUUGGGUGCGGCCCGAAAGGAAUGAUUCUUCCCGAAGGAAAUCCCGGCGACGGGAGAGUACGAGGGUAGAGGACCGGGGUUGCACCGUCCGUCUUGAAACACGGGGCAGGGAGUUCACGGCUGUGGCGAGGUUAAGGGGAUAAAUCCCCGGAGCCAUAGGGAAACCGACAGGUCCGCAGGCGCUUUUGCCGAGGGACGGGGUGUGAAAGCGCCCGGAGUCACGGCCGUGAGACCCGAAGCCGGUCGAUCUAGCCCGGGGCAGGGUGAAGUCCCUCAACAGAGGGAUGGAGGCCCGUUAGGGAUGCUGAUGUGCAAUUCGCUCCCGUGACCUCGGGCUAGGGGUGAAAGGCCAAUCGAGACCGGAGAUAGCUGGUUCCCGCCGAAUUAUCCCGUAGGAUAGCCUCCCUGGAGGUAGGUAGUGGGGUAGAGCACUGAUUGGGUGUGCAGGGGGCGAAAGCCUCCGGCACCCUGUCAAACUCCGAACCCACUACCGCCGUAGAAGGGGAGAGUAGGGUGACGGUGUAAGCCGUCCACCGAGAGGGGAACAACCCAGACUGGGGUUAAGGCCCCAAAGUGCCGGCUAAGUAUUACUCCAAAGGGUGUCCCUGGCCUUAGACAGCGGGGAGGUAGGCUUAGAAGCAGCCACCCUUUAAAGAGUGCGUAACAGCUCACCCGUCGAGGUCAGGGGCCCCGAAAAUGGACGGGGUUCAAGCCGGCCGCCGAGACCCCAGCGCACGGACUGAUUGGUCCGUGAUCGGGUAGGCGGGCGUUCCGAUGGGGUAGAAGUCGGGCCGUAAGGUCCGGUGGACCCAUCGGAAUUGCGGAUCCUGCCGGGAGUAGCAGCAUAGCCGGGUGAGAAUCCCGGCCGCCGAAGGGGCUAGGGUUCCACGGCAAUGUUCGUCAGCCGUGGGUUAGUCGGUCCUAAGUCAGCCCGUAACUCGGUGCUGACGAAAGGGAAACGGGUUUAUAUUCCCGUACCACGGAGGUAGGUGCGGCAACGCAAGCUCCGAGGGUGACGCCUUGGGGUAGGCAGACCGGUCCACAAGACCGGCUAAGCGUAUAAGCCCGGGGAGUGCCGUAAUGGCGAGAACCGGGUGAAAGCGUGAAUGGCCUCCCGUAAGGGAGGUUCUGUCGAUCCCUGGGGCCCGUGAAAAGCCCUCGGAGAACGAUCCUCCGUGACCGUACCGAGAACCGACACUGGUGCCCCUGGGUGAGAAGCCUAAGGCGUGUCGGGGUAAACCCAGCCGAGGGAACUCGGCAAAUUGGCCCUGUAACUUUGGGAGAAGGGGUGCCUGCGGUUGAGUAAACCGCAGGUCGCAGUGACUAGGGGGGCCCGACUGUUUAGUAAAAACACAGGUCCCAGCUAGCCCGAAAGGGUUUGUACUGGGGCCGACGCCUGCCCAGUGCCGGUACGUGAAGCCCGGGUUCAACCGGGUGAAGCGCCGGUAAACGGCGGGGGUAACUAUAA